GCCGAACUUGCGGGAGGAACCUUCUGCCUCCUGCUCCUCCCUCCCUCUCCAGGCUGCCUGUCAGUGCCUGUGGGCCAGUGAGGGAGAUCCCACCAGCCCACGAAGGCACACAGCAGGGCCGGCGCUCGGAUAUCGCUCGCCCAGAUAGGGCUGGCAGGGGAGAUCCUGUGACCUCCCCUAUUGGCCCAUGGCCAUCGCGGCAAACUGGGCAUUUGGCCGAUGGCCAGGUUCCCAACCCGUGCCACCGCCAUUCCCUAAAAUGAAUACUAAUUAAAU